GACGCUUAAUAAUCUUUAUUUCAAAGUAAAAUAUAAAAACAAAAUAAUUCAGACACCGGCAGAAAAACUAAAUAACAUAUGCAGGCCAUACGGUGGGCUCUUUUGGUUGGGCUACCCAAAAAUCACUUUCCUUGGAAUCCAGUAUAGACAAUACUUUGCGGGCUGUUGCUUCUUGCAUGAAAAAUUUACUUCAUGCACCAAUUUUGGGCAAUUGCUUCCUGCACCCCAUAGUAAUAUGAACAAGCAAAAAUGCCCCUACGCUCAAAACCCUAGCAACUCCUCUUCCUUCUCUCCCCUUGUGCCGCCAAGCACCCUGCUACCACCGCGAUUGAAGGUUGAGGAGGACAUUAUGCGAAAUGGGGAGACAUUGUGUGGAUUUCUCUGGCAAAGCCGUUUUCUUCAGCAUGAACAGUGACAUCGAGGUUGAAGAGCGCAUUGUAUAAGAAUUAGGUCAUUUUUAUUUUAUGUGCAAUACAACCUUUCUUCCAUGAGAAUUAGAUAGCU
rnacentral:lncRNA from 1 species